GCGAUGAGCUAAUUUGCAUAAGACGAGAUUGACGCGCCUUUUUGGCAAUGCACUAUGUGGAGUGCUGUCUCUCGCCGCAAUACGCAUAAAGACGCCCAUUCGGGCGUC
rnacentral:sRNA from 1 species